rnacentral:rRNA from 1 species
GACGGAGGAUGCAAGUGUUAUCCGGAAUCACUGGGCGUAAAGCGUCUGUAGGUGGUCAAAUAAGUCAACUGUUAAAUCUUGAGGCUCAACCUCAAAAUCGCAGUCGAAACUAUUCGACUAGAGUAUAGUAGGGGUAAAGGGAAUUUCCAGUGGAGCGGUGAAAUGCGUAGAGAUUGGAAAGAACACCGAUGGCGAAAGCGGCGUGCUGGAUCCCUACUGACGCUGAGGCACGAAAGCCAGGGGAGCAAACGGG